GUCCACCUUCCCUCUCCUCCUCUUCAUCUCGCUCCUCCUUUCCACAACCACCACCUCCAAAGCUCUCAACCAUUGUGUUGAACCUCGGCCCUCCACACCCGGUGCCACUGAGCUCUCAAUUCUCCAUGCCCACAGCCCUUGCUCCCCCUCCUCCCCUUCAUUGCAGCCCUCCCCAGGCUUCGACUCAGUCCAAGCCGAAGCCCGCCGAGACCCUGCCCGGCUCGCCUACCUUGCCUCCCUUGUCGCCCCCCGACCAACAACCCUCCCCAUUGCCUCCGGCCAGCAGCUAUUGCAAACCGCCAA
rnacentral:misc_RNA from 1 species